rnacentral:rRNA from 1 species
AGACGGAGGGGGCUAGCGUUGUUCGGAAUUACUGGGCGUAAAGCGCGCGUAGGCGGACCAUCAAGUUGGGCGUGAAAGCCCCGGGCUCAACCCGGGAACUGCGCUUAUUACUGAUAGACUAGAGAGCGGGAGAGGGUAGCGGAAUUCCCAGUGUAGAGGUGAAAUUCGUAGAUAUUGGGAAGAACACCGGUGGCGAAGGCGGCUCUCUGGACUGAUACUGACGCUGAGACACGAAAGCUGGGGGAGCGAACAGGAUUAGAAACCCCAGUAGUCC